rnacentral:tRNA from 1 species
GGUAGCGUGGCCGAGCGGUCUAAGGCGCUGGUUUUAGGCACCAGUCAUUUCGAUGGCGUGGGUUUGAAUCCCACCGCUGCCA